UACAGAGGGUGCGAGCGUUAAUCGGAAUUACUGGGCGUAAAGCGCGCGUAGACGGUUUUGUAAGUCAGAUGUGAAAUCCCUGGGCUCAACCUGGGAACUGCAUUUGAGACUGCAUGGCUAGAGUAUGGAAGAGGGAAGUGGAAUUUCCGGUGUAGCGGUGAAAUGCGUAGAUAUCGGAAGGAACACCAGUGGCGAAAGCGGCAUCCUGGACCAACACUGACGCUGAGUGAGCGAAAGCCAGGGGAGCAAACGGG
rnacentral:rRNA from 1 species